UACAGAGGGUGCAAGCGUUUGUUCGGAAUUAUUGGGCGUAAAGCGCGUGUAGGCGGCUUGGCAAGUCGGGUGUGAAAUCCCUCAGCUUAACUGAGGAAGUGCGCCCGAAACUGCCGAGCUUGAGUACCGGAGAGGGUGGCGGAAUUCCCCAAGUAGAGGUGAAAUUCGUAGAUAUGGGGAGGAACACCGGUGGCGAAGGCGGCCACCUGGACGGAUACUGACGCUGAGACGCGAAAGCGUGGGGAGCAAACAGG
rnacentral:rRNA from 1 species